rnacentral:rRNA from 1 species
AGCGAACGCUGGCGGCAGGCCUAACACAUGCAAGUCGAACGAACUCUUCGGAGUUAGUGGCGGACGGAUGAGUAACACGUGGGAACGUGCCUUUUGGUUCGGAAUAACUCAGGGAAACUUGUGCUAAUACCGAAUGUGCCCUUCGGGGGAAAGAUUUAUCGCCAUUAGAGCGGCCCGCGUCUGAUUAGCUAGUUGGUGAGGUAACGGCUCACCAAGGCGACGAUCAGUAGCUGGUCUGAGAGGAUGACCAGCCACACUGGGACUGAGACACGGCCCAGACUCCUACGGGAAGCAGCAGUGGGGAAUCUUGCGCAAUGGGCGAAAGCCUGACGCAGCCAUGCCGCGUGAAUGAUGAAGGUCUUAGGAUUGUAAAAUUCUUUCACCGGGGACGAUAAUGACGGUACCCGGAGAAGAAGCCCCGGCUAACUUCGUG